GACGAACGCUGGCGGCGUGCCUAAUACAUGCGAGUCGAGCGGACGGAUGGGAGCUUGCUCCCAGACCGUCAGCGGCGGACGGGUGAGUAACACGUGGGCAACCUGCCUGUAAGACUGGGAUAACUCCGGGAAACCGGGGCUAAUACCGGAUAACUCUUUCCCUCACAUGAGGGAAAGCUGAAAGAUGGCAUCUCGCUAUCACUUACAGAUGGGCCCGCGGCGCAUUAGCUAGUUGGUGAGGUAACGGCUCACCAAGGCGACGAUGCGUAGCCGACCUGAGAGGGUGAUCGGCCACACUGGGACUGAGACACGGCCCAGACUCCUACGGGAGGCAGCAGUAGGGAAUCUUCCGCAAUGGACGAAAGUUUGACGGAGCAACGCCGCGUGAGUGAUGAAGGUUUUCGGAUCGUAAAACUCUGUUGUCAGGGAAGAACAAGUACCGGAGUAACUGCCGGUACCUUGACGGUACCUGACCAGAAAGCCACGGCUAACUACGUG
rnacentral:rRNA from 1 species